rnacentral:misc_RNA from 1 species
ACGCGGGUGGCUGUGUUCAUUGCUAUGUUGGUAUGCAGUGAGUCUGUCGAGAACAGGAAACUAGAGGAGAAUAAGGGUGGGGAAGUCAAGAAACCUCAGUGGUUUUUCGAUGGUGUUGGUAACCCGGGCUGGGUUGUUUGUGGUAUUGGAGGUUUUGCUGGUGGUUUCGGUGGCGGAAAAGUGUUGACCUUUAGUCAUUCUUUUGUUUUUGGGAAGGAAGUGGGUUUCAGAUUUGGUACCGGUAGCCCUGGCAUUGGUCUUGGUAAGCCUGACUGUGUUGGAAAAGGUCGUGUUGGCGGGGGAUUGG